rnacentral:rRNA from 1 species
GACGAACGCUGGCGGCGUGCUUAACACAUGCAAGUCGAACGGACAGACCCUGCUUUUGUGGCGUGCUCGAUUGGCGAACGGGUGAGUAACACGUGAGUAACAUGCCCUUGACUUUGGGAUAACUUCAGGAAACUGGGGCUCAUACCGCAUAGGAUCUCCUGCUGCAUGGGGGUGGUUGGAAAGUUUCGGCGGUUGUGGCUGGACUCGCGGCUUAUCAGCUUGUUGGUGGGGUAGUGGCUUACCAAGGCUUUGACGGGUAGCCGGCCUGAGAGCGUGACCGGGCACAUUGGGACUGAGGUAGGGACCAGUCGCCUAUGGGAGGCAGCGGUGGGGAAUAUUACACAGCGGCCGCAAGCCUGAGGCGGAAGCGCUGCGUGCGUGAUGCUGUCUUUCGAGUGGAAAACCGCUGUCGCCGGUGACGAAGCGUGAGUGACGGUAAUGGGUAAAGAAGCACCGGCUAACUACGUG